UAGGCAGAAGCCUGUUGGUUAGGGCACCUAGCUGUUAACUAGGUUAUCAUGGGAUCGAGGCCCAUCUGUCUAG
rnacentral:tRNA from 1 species